CUUUAUUUGAAUUUUUCAAAUUUCUUUACUUGAGUAAAAAUAGUUGUGGAAUUCAAUGUUCAUGUGUAUGUAUCAAACAUUAGUAGUUUAUAUAUGAAAAACAAGCUGUUUAUACUCAUACAAAUCUUGAGUUGCAUAAAGGCCUGAUUCCACGAGGCGGAAUUUUUCGACCGAAACGAAAUUUCUCUUUGUCUUUUUACAAUUAGUUCUGCUCGAGAGCUCUGAAACAAAGAGAAAUUUCGAUUCGGUUGAAAAAUUUCGCCUAGUGGAAAACCGCCUUAAGGGUUGGUUAAAAGAAAAUAAUACUUCGAAAAUGGUUGGGUAAUUAAAAAAGAAGUAGCCAAUUUUUAUUUCUCUUCGGUGCCCCCCUGAGGCAUAAUUUAUAUAAUGAACGGUCCCUUACAGGACUGGCCAGCCAAUAAAUUCCAUAA
rnacentral:lncRNA from 1 species